rnacentral:rRNA from 1 species
UGGGGAAUAUUGGGCAAUGGGCGCAAGCCUGACCCAGCAACGCCGCGUGAGGGAAGAAGGUCUUCGGAUUGUAAACCUCUGUCCUUGGGGACGAAAAAAAUGACGGUACCCAAGGAGGAAGCUCCGGCUAACUACGUGCCAGCAGCCGCGGUAAUACGUAGGGAGCGAGCGUUGUCCGGAAUUACUGGGCGUAAAGGGUGCGUAGGCGGUUUGGCAAGUCAGAUGUGAAAUCCCCGGGCUUAACUCGGGUGGUGCAUUUGAAACUGCUGAACUUGAGUGCAGGAGAGGAAAGCGGAAUUCCUAGUGUAGCGGUGAAAUGCGUAGAUAUUAGGGGGAACACCAGUGGCGAAGCGGCUUUCUGGACUGUAACUGACGCUGAGCACGAAAGCGUGGGAGCAA